rnacentral:rRNA from 1 species
GAUGAACGCUAGCUAUAGGCUUAACACAUGCAAGUCGAGGGACCGGCGCACGGGUGAGUAACGCGUACCCAACUUACCCAUAACUAAGGGAUAACCCAGCGAAAGUGCGACUAAUACCUUAUGGUUAUGGAUGGGGAUGCGUGUGAUUAGCUUGUUGGCGGGGUAACGGCCCACCAAGGCAACGAUCAGUAGGGGUUCUGAGAGGAAGGUCCCUCGAAUUGGAACAGGGACACGAUCCAAACUCCUACGGGAGGGAGCAGAGAGGACUAUAGGGCAAUGGACGCAAGGCGGAACCAGCCAAGUAAGGUACAGGAGGACGGCCUAUGGGUUGUAAACUGCUUUUAUAGGGGGAGAGGUACCAUAUGAAUAAGGACCGGCUAAUUCCGUGCCAGCAGCCGCGGUAAUAC